rnacentral:rRNA from 1 species
CGUACACUCCUACGGGAGGCAGCAGUGGGGAAUAUUGCACAAUGGGCGCAAGCCUGAUGCAGCCAUGCCGCGUGUAUGAAGAAGGCCUUCGGGUUGUAAAGUACUUUCAGCGGGGAGGAAGGCGAUAAGGUUAAUAACCUUGUCGAUUGACGUUACCCGCAGAAGAAGCACCGGCUAACUCCGUGCCAGCAGCCGCGGUAAUACGGAGGGUGCAAGCGUUAAUCGGAAUUACUGGGCGUAAAGCGCACGCAGGCGGUCUGUCAAGUCGGAUGUGAAAUCCCCGGGCUCAACCUGGGAACUGCAUUCGAAACUGGCAGGCUAGAGUCUUGUAGAGGGGGGUAGAAUUCCAGGUGUAGCGGUGAAAUGCGUAGAGAUCUGGAGGAAUACCGGUGGCGAAGGCGGCCCCCUGGACAAAGACUGACGCUCAGGUGCGAAAGCGUGGGGAGCAAACAGGAUUAGAUACCCGUGUAGUCCCA